GAUGAACGCUGGCGGCGUGCCUAACACAUGCAAGUCGAACGAAGCGCCUUAAAGGAAGUUUUCGGAUGGAAUUUGGGAUGACUGAGUGGCGGACGGGUGAGUAACGCGUGGAUAACCUGCCUCAUACAGGGGGAUAACAGCUAGAAAUGGCUGCUAAUACCGCAUAAGCGCACAGUGCCGCAUGGCAGUGUGUGAAAGACUCCGGUGGUAUGAGAUGGAUCCGCGUCUGAUUAGCCAGUUGGCGGGGUAACGCCCACCAAAGCGACGAUCAGUAGCCGGCCUGAGAGGGCGACCGGCCACAUUGGGACUGAGACACGGCCCAA
rnacentral:rRNA from 1 species